CGUUUUCUGGCUUGGAAAGGUUGAAGGAGCAAUGACAGGUGUCCUGGGGCUCGAAUGACUGGCCGAGGCGGCAGAAGCUGGCCCGGUCGCUGUAGACUCUUGGACGCAGUAGCAGCGCUCGCUCACUGGGAACUUAAGGCCUCUUCUCUUGGCCCCUUCCUUGCCGUAGAGUUGGGAUGUGGGGAGGCAAGUAUGAACGAAUCAGGAUAUUUGUUAGACUAUGAACCCUUAAAGCCAACAAGGCAGCAGUGAUUGAGCCCUGGUGCCCUGAGUUCUGGUAUCAUAGGCAUGUCCCACCUUGCCUGUUUCAUGCAAUGCUGUGGAUCAAACCGAGACUUCGUGUGUGCUGGGUGAGCGAGCAUCUGCCAAUGAACUACAAUCCCAGCAAGCAAUGAGGGUCUGAAGAAAGGUCAGUCAUGAGAAGAGCCAAAUUAAAGGCUGAACUCUGUGGACUCAAAAGAAGGUAGAACAGGGACUCAGAACAGGGAGUGCCAGAGCCUGGUCCCGGGACCUCUGCCAGCCAGGAGAGUCUUUCUGGAACCGGGGAGGUAUCAAAGAAAAGCCAGCUGUCCAGAAAGGAACAAGGUCAGUGGGGUGUGGUGGUGUGCACCUGCAGUCCCACUGCUUGAGAAUGGGACUUGAGAAGUACUUGGGAAUGCUGGAGAAGGCCAGAGAUGCUGCCUUGCUGCAAGUUGGAAGUCAGCCUAGCCUCUUCUGCCUCCCCCACGUCCACACAGAGAGAAAUCCAACCCUUGGCUGAGGCCUGAAAGAAGACCUGCAUUCACGCCGCGGAGGGGAGUGCUGCUCAGCUGUCAAAAGAACAAGCCCAGCAGAGGCAGGGUCAGAAGGUCCUUUCCUCUCCCUCCACCCUUUUGUUUCCGUUUCCUCUCCUCUUCUCCCCCUCCUUCCUCCAUGCCUUCUGUUUGUUUGUUUAUUUGUUUAUCUUUUGCUCUGUGUGUUUUGAGACAGGCUCUCCCUUUGUAGCCUAUGCACACCUGGAACUCCCUGUGUAGUCCAUGGAAACGCUUCUGAUUCGGCCUCCUAAAUUCUUGGGAAGAUGGACUGCUGGGGUGGGGCACUUGCUGCUAAGCCUGAAGACCUGAAAUCACUCUCCGGAACUCACGUGGUAGGAGAGAGAGAACCAACUCCUGAAAGUUGUCCUCUGACCGCCACAUGUAAUGGGGACACAGGCAACUUGUCUAGUAGGCCUAUGUAUACAGCUGAGUGUUUGGACCAAUCAUGGCCAUUUGUUUGGGCCAAACCCCCGUCUUGCCAAUUUUUUUUUUUUUUUUUUUGAGACAGGGUUUCUCUGUGUAGCCCUGGCUGUCCUGGAACUCAUUUUGUAGACCAGGCUGGUCUCGAACUCAGAAAUCCGCCUGCCUCUGCAUUCUGAGUGCUGGGAUUAAAGGCGUGUGCCACUACACCCGGCUCCAUCUUGCCUCUUGGCAUCAUGAAAUUCCUCUAGUAAGCCACCAGGGGGAGUGUUCCACCCCUGUCGCAGGUGGAAAUGGUUGUAGGGUCAUCUAGAGAUCAUCAAGGCUUGGUAUAGUGAAAAUUCUGAUACCUCCGGGAGCUUAGGCAAUUGGCUGCAGUCUUUGUGUAGUUACCUCUGUCAGUGUUCUAGAUUGCUGAUUCUGACACAGGAUGAUCUGAUGGCUGUGAGAUUUUUGCUCCAGGGAGUCAGGGAGAGCUGAUGUAGUCAUGCAAACUGUCCCAAGCCUAAUGUCUUUGCUAAGUAACAGGAAAAUGGUCACUGGUAGGAGUGUUCACAUAUACACACAUAGAACUUAUUAACAAUAAGAGUGAUUUUAAAAAAUGAUUUACGUAUUUAUGUUAUAUAUCUAUGAGCACACCAUUGCUGUCUUCAGACACACCAGAAGCGGGCAUCACAUCCCAUUACCAAUGGUUGUGAGCCACCAUGUGGUUGCUGGGAAUUGAACUCAUGACCCCAGUUAAGUGCUCUUAACUGCUGAGCUCUCUCUCCAGCCCACUAAGGAUGAUUUUUAAAACAGAUUGAAGAGAGUUCACCACCUGCUCAAUGCCCCAGAGAGUGCUGAGUGCUCCUUAUACGUGCCAGUAGGAAAUCAUCAAGACCUAUAGAAUAGCCGGGCGUGGUGGCGCACGCCUUUAAUCCCAGCACUCGGAGGCAGAGGCAGGCAGAUUUCUGAGUUCGAGGCCAGCCUGGUCUACAGAGUUCCAGGACAGCCAGAGCUAUACAGAGAAACUCUGUCUU
rnacentral:lncRNA from 1 species